rnacentral:tRNA from 1 species
GGGUCAGUAGUUCAAUGGUUAGAACAGCGGCCUCAUAAGUCGUCGGCUGUCGGUUCGAGUCCGACCUGACCCA